GCGAGAAAACUUUGCAAUGUGCGAAAGCACGACAAGGUUAAUCCGAGUGAUUUCUGCUAAAGGAAUCUUUUGUUAGUUCUAAAAAUACUAGUGAAUAAGGGGUGGGCAAGUUCUGGUGUCAGCCGCCGCGGUAAAACCAGCACCUCAAGUGGUCAGGAGGAUUAUUGGGCCUAAAGCAUCCGUAGCCUGUUCUAUAAGUUUGCGGUUAAAUCUAUACGCUCAACGUAUAGGCUGCUGUAAAUACUGUAGAACUAGGGAGUGGGAGAGGUAGACGGUACUCGGUAGGAAGGGGUAAAAUCCUUUGAUCUAUCGAUGACCACCUGUGGCGAAGGCGGUCUACCAGAACACGUUCGACGGUGAGGGAUGAAAGCUGGGGGAGCAAACCGG
rnacentral:rRNA from 1 species